AGAAUCAACGCUGGCGGCGUGCCUAACACAUGCAAGUCGCACGAGAAAGGGGCUUCGGCUCUGAGUAAAGUGGCGCACGGGUGAGUAACACGUGACUAAUCUACCCUCGAGUGGGGAAUAACCUAGAGAAAUCUGGGCUAAUACCGCAUAACACUUACGAGUCAAAGCAGCAAUGCGCUUGGGGAGGAGGUCGCGGCCGAUUAGCUAGUUGGCGGGGUAAUGGCCCACCAAGGCGAUGAUCGGUA
rnacentral:rRNA from 1 species